rnacentral:tRNA from 1 species
CCGCCCGUAGCACAACUGAUAGUGCAACGGCCUUCUAAGCCGUAGGUUGCAGGUUCGAGUCCUGCCGGGCGGGCCA